rnacentral:lncRNA from 13 species
AAAUACCUUCAGGGCAUCAACUAGAUUACCGACUGAGUUUGAAUAAUGCCUCCCCCUUCUCUUUUUCCAGCCCAUGCAGCAGAAGCAGAAGGCACAGCUGAAAAUCAAGGUGAGUCCUGCUCCCUCACUCUCUGUCUCUCUCUCCAAUGUGUGUGUUCUGGAUGUUUCCAUACUAUAGNNNNNNNNNNNNNNNNNNNNNNNNNGUGUUUCAGGGGGAAGGGCUAGUUUGGCUUUACACGCCACACUAAAGUUGACACCACAUCGUUGAUAAAUGAAAACUCAUUGUUUUAAUGAACUGAAACAGGGGGAGAUUUGGAUCUGGAGGACGCUAUAGCUGAGAAUGAGGAAGACACACCCGCGGGAGGGAAGAGGCGCAGCGGGGGCUCAGUUGCCCAUGCAGCAGAAGCAGAAGGCACAGCUGAAAAUCAAGGGUCUAGCUCUGGCUCGGUGGUGGGCAUUCUGUGUGCUAUCGGCGUGGCGAUCGUUGGAGCUGCCACCGGAUACUUCACCUAUCACAAGAAGAAGCUCUGUUUCAAGAACAGUGGAGGUGAGAUACCAUCAACUACAAACUGUCUGCUGCUGUAGCUGGCCCGUUCCACGGAAAGAGUACCUUUUGCGUCCCUUUGAUAUUUUAAGUAAAAUUGUGCAGCAAUAUUUAUUCAAUGAAGUGCCCUUUGAUAUAGACCACAUGGAAAAUUCAAUAAAUCUGAUUUUCUAUAUGAAUAAAGACUUGCUUAAGUGCCAAAAUUCAUCAUUUUAA